rnacentral:misc_RNA from 1 species
GAAGCGACGGAGCUCGGCCGGAUCGACGACGACUCUUCACGGCGCGCGGCUCUCUUGCCUUCAGCACCGCAGCUCGACACCGCCACCGCCGCCGCUGCCGCCACGACCAACGAGAGCUUUGCUUUGCUCCUCGGUGGCUCGGCCGCGAGCCUGACUGACGAGCUGUUUGCCCCCCGCCGGCUAUUUAAAGGCAGCGACAGCGGCAUGCCGUUGGUGGUAAAUAUGAUAGAGGAGAGGAGAGGAGAGGAGCGGAGCGGAGCAAGACAAGACGACGACGCUGGCCCAGGUCCAGCUAUGGAUGUGACGUGACGUGCUCGUCGCGGAAGCGAAACCCACCCACGUAUAGAUGCCUAAACGUGAACCGAGUGCAGAGUGCAAAGGCAAAAGCUUCCCCAUUCCAUCCCAACUGAAAGCAGAAACGUCACUGAGUCGUUUGAAUUGGUUCAUCGAUCCGGGUGAAAACGAGAACCACUGAAUAGCAUGUUGCGAAACUUUUCUUCUUCUUCUUGUUCUGUUGGCCAGAAAUCAUCACAACUCAGAAAUGUGGCCAGUCACUCGAGCAGUAGCAUGUAUAAUUGGCAUCGGUCAGUUACUU